rnacentral:rRNA from 1 species
UGAACGCUAGCGACAGGCCUAACACAUGCAAGUCGAGGGGCAGCACAAGGAGCAAUCUGAGGUGGCGACCGGCGCACGGGUGAGUAACACGUAUGCAACCUGCCUGUAAGCGGGGAAUAACCCGUUGAAAGACGGACUAAUACCGCAUAAUACUAAAUUACUGCAUGGUAAUUUAUUUAAACAUUUAUGGCUUACAGAUGGGCAUGCGCAUGAUUAGCUAGUUGGAGAGGUAACGGCUCCCCAAGGCAACGAUCAUUAGGGGUUCUGAGAGGAAGGUCCCCCACACUGGUACUGAGACACGGACCAGACUCCUACGGGAGGCAGCAGUGAGGAAUAUUGGUCAAUGGACGAGAGUCUGAACCAGCCAAGUCGCGUGCAGGAAGAAUGUCCUAAUGGAUUGUAAACUGCUUUUGCAGGGGAAUAAAGUGCAUCACGUGUGAUGUUUUGUAUGUACUCUGCGAAUAAGGAUCGGCUAACUCCGUGCCAGCAGCGGC